rnacentral:rRNA from 1 species
AGUCGAGCGGUAAGGCCCUUCGGGGUACACGAGCGGCGAACGGGUGAGUAACACGUGGGUGAUCUGCCUCGCACUCUGGGAUAAGCCUGGGAAACUGGGUCUAAUACCGGAUAUGACCACGAAUCGCAUGGUUUGUGGUGGAAAGGUUUACUGGUGCGAGAUGGGCCCGCGGCCUAUCAGCUUGUUGGUGGGGUAACGGCCUACCAAGGCGACGACGGGUAGCCGGCCUGAGAGGGCGACCGGCCACACUGGGACUGAGACACGGCCCAGACUCCUACGGGAGGCAGCAGUGGGGAAUAUUGCACAAUGGGCGAAAGCCUGAUGCAGCGACGCCGCGUGAGGGAUGACGGCCUUCGGGUUGUAAACCUCUUUCGACAGGGACGAAGCGCAAGUGACGGUACCUGUAGAAGAAGCACCGGCCAACUACGUGCCAGCAGCCGCGGUAAUACGUAGGGUGCGAGCGUUGUCCGGAAUUACUGGGCGUAAAGAGCUUGUAGGCGGUCUGUCGCGUCGAUCGUGAAAACGUGCAGCUCAACUGCGCGCCUGCGGUCGAUACGGGCAGACUAGAGUACUUCAGGGGAGACUGGAAUUCCUGGUGUAGCGGUGAAAUGCGCAGAUAUCAGGAGGAACACCGGUGGCGAAGGCGGGUCUCUGGGAAGUAACUGACGCUGAGAAGCGAAAGCGUGGGUAGCGAACAGGAUUAGAUACCCUGGUAGUCCACGCCGUAAACGGUGGGUACUAGGUGUGGGUUUCCUUCCACGGGAUCCGUGCCGUAGCUAACGCAUUAAGUACCCCGCCUGGGGAGUACGGCCGCAAGGCUAAAACUCAAAGGAAUUGACGGGGGCCCGCACAAGCGGCGGAGCAUGUGGAUUAAUUCGAUGCAACGCGAAGAACCUUACCUGGGUUUGACAUACACCGGAAAGCCGUAGAGAUACGGCCCCCUUGUGGUCGGUGUACAGGUGGUGCAUGGCUGUCGUCAGCUCGUGUCGUGAGAUGUUGGGUUAAGUCCCGCAACGAGCGCAACCCUUAUCUUAUGUUGCCAGCGCGUAAUGGCGGGGACUCGUGAGAGACUGCCGGGGUCAACUCGGAGGAAGGUGGGGAGGACGUCAAGUCAUCAUGCCCCUUAUGUCCAGGGCUUCACACAUGCUACAAUGGCCGGUACAGAGGGCUGCGAUACCGUGAGGUGGAGCGAAUCCCUUAAAGCCGGUCUCAGUUCGGAUCGGGGUCUGCAACUCGACCCCGUGAAGUUGGAGUCGCUAGUAAUCGCAGAUCAGCAACGCUGCGGUGAAUACGUUCCCGGGCCUUGUACACACCGCCCGUCACGUCAUGAAAGUCGGUAACACCCGAAGCC